rnacentral:rRNA from 1 species
GAUGAACGCUGGCGGCGUGCCUAAUACAUGCAAGUCGAGCGAACGGACGAGAAGCUUGCUUCUCUGAUGUUAGCGGCGGACGGGUGAGUAACACGUGGAUAACCUACCUAUAAGACUGGGAUAACUUCGGGAAACCGGAGCUAAUACCGGAUAAUAUUUUGAACCGCAUGGUUCAAAAGUGAAAGACGGUCUUGCUGUCACUUAUAGAUGGAUCCGCGCUGCAUUAGCUAGUUGGUAAGGUAACGGCUUACCAAGGCAACGAUGCAUAGCCGAACUGAGAGGGUGAUCGGCCACACUGGAACUGAGACGCGGUCCAGACUCCUACGGGAGGCAGCAGUAGGGAAUCUUACGCAAUGGGCGAAAGCCUGACGGAGCAACGCCGCGUGAGUGAUGAAGGUCUUCGGAUCGUAAAACUCUGUUAUUAGGGAAGAACAUAUGUGUAAGUAACUGUGCACAUCUUGACGGUACCUAAUCAGAAAGCCACGGCUAACUACGUG